rnacentral:rRNA from 1 species
AGCUCCAAUAGCGUAUAUUAAAGUUGUUGCAGUUAAAAAGCUCGUAGUUGGAUUUCUGGUUUGAACGUCCGGUCCGCUUCUUACGAAGCGCGUACUAUGGAUGUUUGGGCCAUUUUUUGUGAGGAUGCCUUUCUGCCAUUAAGUUGGUGGUUUGGUGGACUUGCAUCGUUUACUGUGAAAAAAUUAGAGUGUUUAAAGCAGGCGUUUGCUCAUUGAAUACAUUAGCAUGGAAUAAUAAGAUACGACCUUGGUGGUCUAUUUUGUUGGUUUGCACGCCAGGGUAAUGAUUAAUAGGGACAGUUGGGGGUAUUCAUAUUUCAGCGUCAGAGGUGAAAUUCUUGGAUCGCUGAAAGAUGAGCUUAGGCGAAAGCAUUUACCAAGGAUGUUUUCAUUAAUCAAG